rnacentral:rRNA from 1 species
UACGUAGGGUGCGAGCGUUGUCCGGAUUUAUUGGGCGUAAAGCGAGCGCAGGUGGUUUAAUAAGUCUGAUGUAAAAGGCAGUGGCUCAACCAUUGUAUGCAUUGGAAACUGGUAGACUUGAGUGCAGGAGAGGAGAGUGGAAUUUCAUGUGUAGCGGUGAAAUGCGUAGAUAUAUGGAGGAACACCGGUGGCGAAAGCGGCUCUCUGGCCUGUAACUGACACUGAGGCUCGAAAGCGUGGGGAGCAAACAGG